rnacentral:rRNA from 1 species
AACGAACGCUGGCGGCAGGCUUAACACAUGCAAGUCGAGCGCCCCGCAAGGGGAGCGGCAGACGGGUGAGUAACACGUGGGGAUCUGCCCAAUGGUACGGAAUAGCUCCGGGAAACUGGAAUUAAUACCGUAUGCGCCCGCAAGGGGAAAGAUUUAUCGCCAUUGGAUGAACCCGCGUCGGAUUAGCUAGUUGGUGUGGUAAAGGCGCACCAAGGCGACGAUCCGUAGCUGGUCUGAGAGGAUGAUCAGCCACACUGGGACUGAGACACGGCCCAGACUCCUACGGGAGGCAGCAGUGGGGAAUAUUGGACAAUGGGCGCAAGCCUGAUCCAGCCAUGCCGCGUGAGUGAUGAAGGCCUUAGGGUUGUAAAGCUCUUUCGCCGACGAAGAUAAUGACGGUAGUCGGAGAAGAAGCCCCGGCUAACUUCGUGCCAGCCGCCGCCGUAACAC